GCUAAGCAGUGGAUUUAUCGACGAAAUUAGAAGUUGGGAUCUCAAAACCGGAAAAGAUCUGCUUCGAUUCAAGUCGUGUGCUUCUCCGGCGCACAGCCGAAAACUUGGGUCGACUAAAGAAUCAAUUUUUCUAUCAAGCAACAAUGGGUCAAGUUCUCUUUUGCUCUCACACCAAUCCUCUCCGACAUUCUUGAAGGCUUAGUAGUUGCUUUCAUUUGUUAUCUUUUUUUUUUUUUUUCUUGUUCCACUGUAGGAGCAUGGAUUUUCACUUUGAUUCUGCUAAAAACGAGUUUGAUUUAUCUGCUUGAUAUCGGUAGCCAAUGCUGAUGUGAUCCACUUAGUUGCCUUGUUGCGUCUCUCAUCCCCUGUGUGAUUGCAGAUGAGGGAGGAUAAGAAGUAGAAGAAUGAUGAAGGAGAAGUGAGGGAAGGAGUAGCGCAUCAAUAGCUUUGUUGCCACGCGGGUAUAUCUCUUGUCAUUUCUUUCAAAUGUCUAGCUCCAUCUGUUUUGGUCUCCAUGGAGAUCAGGUGUCAGCUAUUUUGGUUGAGUCUUGUGGCUUAAAGAACUCAAGGCUCAACUCGGCUCUCCUCAGUGUCACCAAAGUCACCGAAGACUGGAUUUGGAGAAGCUUGAAGAAGCGGUUGGCUGGAAGAAGAUAGGUCGAUGAUGAUGUUUGGCUUACAGAGAAAGCCACAGCCAAGCACACUCUUAGACAGAGCUCAUGAUGUACAAUUUUAUUUCAGAGCGUAAGGUACUUGAAGAAAUGAGUUGCUCUUGGAACAUUAGUGGGAACUACCUAGGCUUCAAUGAUGGAAUACAAAGCAAUUGAGAAUGUGCGACAAACCAUUUAUUAUGUAGUUUUUCAUA